AAGAAACUAACAAGGAUUCCCCUAGUAACGGCGAGUGAAGAGGGAAAAGCCCAGCACCGAAUCCCACAGCCUUGCGCUGUCGGGAACUGUGGUGUAUAGGAAGCCUACUUGUCGGCGUGUUCGGGUACCCAAGUCCUCCUGAUCGUGGCCUCUCCCAUAGCGGGUGUCAGGCCCAUACAGGCACCCGACGGCGUCGGCUUGGAGCUUCCUCGGAGUCGGGUUGUUUGGGAAUG
rnacentral:rRNA from 1 species